rnacentral:rRNA from 1 species
UACGUAGGGUGCGAGCGUUGUCCGGAAUUACUGGGCGUAAAGAGCUCGUAGGUGGUUUGUCGCGUUGUCCGUGAAAACUCACAGCUUAACUGUGGGCGUGCGGGCGAUACGGGCAGACUGGAGUACUGCAGGGGAGACUGGAAUUCCUGGCGUAGCGGUGGAAUGCGCAGAUAUCAGGAGGAACACCGGUGGCGAAGGCGGGUCUCUGGUACGUGACUGACGCUGAGACGCGAAAGCGUGGGGAGCAAACAGG